rnacentral:rRNA from 1 species
UACGUAGGGAGCAAGCGUUGUCCGGAAUCAUUGGGCGUACAGCGCGCGUAGGUGGCUUCGUAAGUCCGUUGUGAAAGUCAAAGGCUCAACCUUUGAAAGCCGAUGGAUACUGCGGAGCUAGAGUACGGAAGAGGCGAGUGGAAUUCCUGGUGUAGCGGUGGAAUGCGUAGAUAUCUGGAGGAACACCGGUGGCGAAGGCGGCAUCCUGGACCGAUACUGACGCUGAGGAGCGAAAGCGUGGGGAGCGAACAGG